GGCCAGCAGCCGCGGUAAAACGUAGGAGGCGAGCGUUAUCCGGAUUUACUGGGUGUAAAGCGCGUGCAGGCGGUUUGUUAAGAUGGGUGUGAAAGCUCCUGGCUCAACUGGGAGAGGUCGCUCAAGACUGGCAGACUCGAGAGCAGUAGGGGAAGGUGGAAUUCCGGGUGUAGUGGUGAAAUGCGUAGAUAUCCGGAGGAACACCAGUGGCGAAAGCGGCCUUCUGGACUGCAUCUGACGCUCAGACGCGAAAGCUAGGGUAGCAAACGGGAUUAGAGACCCCGGUAGUCCUAGCCGUAAACGAUGUGAACUUGGCGCCGGAUGGGUAAAACUAUUCGGUGCCGAAGCAAACGCGAUAAGUUCACCACCUGGGGACUACGGCCGCAAGGUUAAAACUCAAAUAAAUUGACGG
rnacentral:rRNA from 1 species